GAUGAAGAACGUAGCGAAAUGCGAUAAGUAAUGUGAAUUGCAGAAUUCAGUGAAUCAUCGAAUCUUUGAACGCACAUUGCGCCCGCCAGUAUUCUGGCGGGCAUGCCUGUUCGAGCGUCAUUUCAACCCUCAGGUCCCCCUUUUCGGAGGGGGAGACACCCUGGUGUUGGGGGACGGCAUCCUGGCCCGCUGUCUCACAGUGAGCCACGCCGCCCCCGAAAUGAAUUGGCGGCCUCGUCGCGUGCCACCCCUGCGUAGUAGCGCAACCUCGCAACGGGAGCCCGACGCGGCCACUGCCGUAAAACGCCCAACUUUUACCGAGUUGACCUCGAAUCAGGUAGGAAUACCCGCUGAACUUAAGCAUAUCAAUAAGCGGAGGA
rnacentral:misc_RNA from 1 species